GGGCGGGUAGCUCAGCUGGCUAGAGCGUCUGGUUUACACCCAGGAAGUCGUGGGUUCGAGUCCCUCCCCGCCCACCA
rnacentral:tRNA from 1 species